UACAGAGGUCCCAAGCGUUUGUUCGGAUUCACUGGGCGUAAAGGGUGCGUAGGUGGCCGGGUAAGUCUGAUGUGAAAUCUCCGAGCUCAACUCGGAAAUGGCAUUGGAAACUAUCCGGCUGGAGGAGUGGAGGGGGGACUGGAAUACUUGGUGUAGCAGUGAAAUGCGUAGAUAUCAAGUGGAACACCAGUGGCGAAGGCGAGUCCCUGGACACUUCCUGACACUGAGGCACGAAAGCUAGGGGAGCAAACAGG
rnacentral:rRNA from 1 species